GAGACCAGGCAGGAACCCAGGAGGGACGAGGAGACCAGGAGGACAAAGAACCAGGAGGACGACAGCAGGAUAUCAGUCAGAGCAUCGGGACAGACUGAGAUUGCCACCACCUGAGGCUCAGCUGGGAGAAUGAGAGUUGAGAAAAAAGAAGAGAGAAGAUGCAGUAUUGGAGAACAGCAGAGCACACUAACACACAAGACACACGCACACAGACCGUCUCGCCAUUAGCCCCUCUGCUCCUCUUAUGUCUUCAUUUUGGAGAAAACAAUCCAUCAGACAAAGGGGUCGCCACAGCGAAUCGUCACACUG